GACGAACGCUGGCGGCGUGCUUAACACAUGCAAGUCGAACGGUAAGGCCCUUCGGGGUACACGAGUGGCGAACGGGUGAGUAACACGUGGGUGAUCUGCCCUGCACUUCGGGAUAAGCCUGGGAAACUGGGUCUAAUACCGGAUAGGACCACUGCCUGCAUGGGUGGUGGUGGAAAGCUUUUGCGGUGUGGGAUGGGCCCGCGGCCUAUCAGCUUGUUGGUGGCGUGAUGGCCUACCAAGGCGACGACGGGUAGCCGGCCUGAGAGGGUGACCGGCCAAACUGGGACUGAGAUACGGCCCAGACUCCUACGGGAGGCAGCAGUGGGGAAUAUUGCACAAUGGGCGCAAGCCUGAUGCAGCGACGCCGCGUGAGGGAUGACGGCCUUCGGGUUGUAAACCUCUUUCAGCACCGACGAAGCGCAAGUGACGGUAGGUGCAGAAGAAGGACCGGCCAACUACGUGCCAGCCGCCGCGGUAA
rnacentral:rRNA from 1 species